GGUAUUCAUGUGAAUACCCUAGCUACGCCACUGAAAUGAGGGACAAGAUCUACUAGCAAUUUUCGUUUUCUCUUCUUGUGAGUCGACCGUUAGAUUAAGAACGUACAACAUUUGUAGACAUCAUGUGCUUCCCGUUGUUUCUUUCUUUCCUGUUCGUACGUUGCAGCUCCAAGGUUCCCUUGCACCGCCAUCUCUCUAGGCUCUAGCUACCUCACCUUAUCU
rnacentral:lncRNA from 1 species